rnacentral:rRNA from 1 species
AUCCUCUUCGUUUCCUUUUUCGAUUUUGCCUCCCCACUCCAGUGUCGACGGCCACCACCGCCAAGCAGAAGACGGCUCGACGCCUACUUCCCCCGGCUCCCAGAUUCUCACGGCACCAUCUUCGCACCCCUCGCCGCCGGACGCUCCCCCGAGCCCCUCGCCGUCGGAGCACGCCACCGCGAAGAGGACUCAGAUUCCCGGGGUGUUUGAUAUCUGAGGAGGGGGAAGAUGGGCAGCGUGGACAAGUUCAGGUUCUGCAUUGAUCGGGGCGGCACGUUCACCGACAUCUACGCCGAGGUCCCCGGAAGGCCGGAAGGCUAUGUCAUGAAGCUCCUCUCCGUCGAUCCGUCCAACUAUGACGAUGCUCCGAUAGAGGGGAUCAGGAGGAUUCUAGAGGAGUUUUCUGGUGAAAGAAUCCCCCGGUCGUCCAAGAUCCCAACCGGCAUGAUCGACUGGAUCCGGAUGGGCACCACGGUGGCCACGAACGCGCUUCUUGAGAGGAAGGGUGAGAGGAUCGCGCUCUGUGUCACCCGGGGCUUUAAGGACUUGCUUCAGAUUGGUAACCAGGCCCGGCCGAACAUAUUCGACCUCAAGGUCUUGAAGCCUUCGAAUCUCUACGAGGAGGUGGUCGAGGUCGAUGAGCGGGUUGAACUUGUUCUUGACGGUGAGAGGGAUGAUUCAGCUAUUGAAGGGAUCUCAGGGGAAUUGGUCAGGGUGGGGAAGCCAGUUGAUGUGGAGUCAUUGAAGCCUUUACUUAAAGGUUUGCUUGACAAGGGUAUACGGUGUCUGGCGGUGGUGCUGAUGCAUUCAUAUACCUAUCCCCAUCAUGAGCUCCUCAUCGAGAAACUAGCCCUGGAAAUGGGAUUUAAGCAUGUAUCUUUGUCUUCGUCGUUGACACCGAUGGUACGCGCAGUACCUCGGGGCCUCACAGCCAGUGUGGAUGCUUAUCUAACACCAGUCAUCAAAGAGUACCUAUCAGCAUUCAUGUCAAGAUUUGAAGGGGGAGCUGAACAAGUCAAUGUGCUGUUUAUGCAGUCAGAUGGUGGUCUUGCCCCAGAGAGCAGAUUCUCUGGGCACAAAGCAGUAUUGUCAGGCCCUGCAGGUGGUGUUGUUGGCUACUCACAGACCUUGUUUGAACUUGAGACAUCAAAGCCACUCAUUGGGUUUGACAUGGGAGGUACAUCCACCGAUGUGAGCCGCUAUGAUGGAAGCUAUGAACAAGUUCUUGAGACCCAAAUUGCUGGGGCAAUCAUUCAAGCUCCCCAGCUUGACAUAAACACAGUGGCUGCUGGUGGCGGAUCAAAGCUUAAGUUUCAGUUCGGAGCCUUCAAGGUUGGGCCAGAAUCGGUUGGAGCACACCCUGGUCCAGUUUGCUACAGGAAAGGUGGUGAGCUGGCAAUUACUGAUGCCAACUUGAUCUUGGGGACCGUUAUUCCUGAGUACUUCCCAUCCAUAUUUGGUCCUAAUGAAAAUUUACCCCUUGAUUAUGAGGCUACAAAAAAGGCAUUUGAGGAACUUGCUGUUGAGAUAAACUCUUAUCGGAAGAGUCAGGACCCAUCGGUGAAGGGCAUGACAAUUGAGGAGAUUGCUCUUGGGUUCGUCAAUGUUGCAAACGAGGCAAUGUGCCGACCUAUACGCCAGUUGACAGAAAUGAAGGGGCAUGAUACUAAGAACCAUGCACUAGCGUGCUUUGGUGGUGCAGGUCCUCAGCAUGCAUGCGCUAUAGCAAGGUCCCUAGGCAUGUCUGAGUUACUUAUUCAUCGUUAUUGUGGCAUAUUGAGUGCAUACGGGAUGGGCCUUGCUGAUGUUAUUGAAGAUCUGCAAGAACCAUAUUCUGCUGUUUAUAACACAGAUUCUGCCGCAGAGGCAUCUCGAAGAGUAGCUCAUUUGGUAAAGCAGGUGAAAGAAAAGCUAGUGGAGCAGGGAUUUGGAGAUGAGAGCAUCAGGACAGAUUCAUACUUGAACUUGAGGUACGAGGGAACUGAUACAGCAAUCAUGGUUAAAGAGCCCGAGAAAGACUCUGGAUGUGAUUAUGCGGAUGAGUUUGUUAAAAUGUUUCAACAAGAGUAUGGCUUCAAAUUAUUACACAGAAAUAUACUCAUAUGCGAUGUAAGAGUCCAGGGUGUUGGUGCCACCAACAUUUUGCAACCUCGUGAACUGACGCCAAUAUCAACUAAACCCUUGCAAGAAAGUUCAUGCAAAAUUUAUUUUUCACAUGGAUGGCAAGAAACUCCACUGUACAAGCUCGAGAAUUUGGGUUAUGGACAUGUCUUGGAGGGCCCUGUGGUUAUUAUGAAUGGGAAUAGUACAGUGAUAGUAGAAAAAGACUGCAAGGCUGUCAUCACUAAGUAUGGCAACAUAAGAAUUGAGAUCGGUGCAUCUCUGAGUACUGUAGAAAUAUCAGAAACAGUAGCUGAUGUAGUUCAACUUUCUAUCUUUAACCACCGAUUCAUGGGUAUUGCUGAACAGAUGGGUCGGACACUUCAAAGAACUUCCAUUUCUACAAACAUAAAGGAACGGCUGGACUUCUCUUGUGCUUUAUUUGGUUCAGAUGGUGGCCUUGUUGCAAACGCCCCUCAUGUUCCUGUACACUUAGGAGCCAUGUCUAGCACUGUAUGCUGGCAACUUAGUUAUUGGGGUGAUAACCUGCAUGAGGGCGAUGUUCUUGUUACAAACCAUCCAUGCUCUGGGGGUAGCCAUCUGCCAGAUAUCACAGUUGUCACACCAGUGUUUAAUGAUGGUAAGCUGAUCUUUUUUGUUGCUAGUAGAGGUCACCAUGCAGAGAUUGGAGGUAUCACGCCAGGAAGCAUGCCUCCUUUCUCAAAAUGUAUCUCGGAGGAAGGUGCUGCCAUCAAAGCGUUUAAACUUGUGGAAAGGGGUGUUUUCCAAGAGGAAGGAAUAGUUCAGUUGCUGCAGUCACCCUGUUCUGAUGAACUUACCGGUGAUAAGAUUCCAGGAACACGCAAGAUCGCGGACAAUCUUUCUGAUCUCCGUGCUCAGGUGGCAGCAAACCAACGAGGAAUAACACUUAUCAAAGAACUGAUAAAUCAGUAUGGCUUGAUCACUGUGCAGUCUUAUAUGAAUCACGUCCAAAAGAAUGCCGAGGUAGCUGUGAGAGAGAUGCUCAAGGUAGUCGCAUCUAGAGUUGAAAAGGAGACAGGGUCUUGUGUUAUUGAAGAUGAAGACUACAUGGAUGAUGGCUCUGUGCUCCAUUUGAAGCUCACCCUUGAUUCUCGUCGAGGUGAGGCUACCUUUGACUUUGAGGGCACCAGUCCUGAGGUGUAUGGUAACUGGAAUGCUCCUGAAGCAGUAACAGCAGCUGCUGUCAUAUACUCCCUGCGAUGCUUGGUGGACGUAGAUAUACCCUUGAAUCAAGGUUGCCUAGCUCCUGUCAAGAUCAUCAUCCCCAAAGGCUCUUUUCUUUCACCAAGCGACAAAGCAGCAGUGGUUGGCGGCAAUGUGUUAACCUCUCAGAGGGUGACAGACGUUGUCCUAAUGGCGUUCGAAGUCUGUGCCUGCUCCCAGGGCUGCAUGAACAACUUGACCUUUGGAGAUGACACUUUUGGUUACUACGAGACUAUCGGAGGUGGCUGUGGUGCCGGGCCGAGCUGGAAUGGUACAAGUGGUGUUCAGUGUCACAUGACGAACACAAGGAUGACUGAUCCAGAGAUCUUUGAGCAGCGGUACCCGGUUCUUUUGCACAAAUUUAGCAUCAGAGAGAGCAGCGGAGGUUCUGGUUUCCACAGAGGCGGUGAUGGCCUUGUAAGGGAGAUUGAAUUCCGCCGCCCUGUUGUUGUGAGCAUUCUUUCUGAGAGGCGGGUGCAUGCUCCCAGGGGACUGAAGGGAGGGGAAAAUGGAGCCCGUGGCGCAAACUAUCUAGUCAGGAAAGAUGGCCGCAGAGUUUUCCUUGGAGGGAAGAAUACUGUCACAGUUAAUGCCGGAACUGUGCUGCUUGUUUCCUUCCUGCAUGGUUCACUUUUGGUCUCCACUUCUCAUGCUGCCAUCUAUGCUCAUGACAGUACAGACAAACAAAAUCAUAUCUAAUCAUUGCCCCUGGUGCCUUGAAGCUUUACUGUUUGCAACACUUCCAUUCUGUUAAUUGUUUGUUAUUUUUCAGUUCUGUGAUCUUUGGGAUGGUACCGACCAAUAUUGUCCGUUUAUCUAUGAGGAACUGUGACACAAUUUUAUGCUACUAGCUUUUCUGUAGUACUCGCAUUAGGCACUCUAUAGAGGUUCAUAAUGUUG